AACGAACGCUGGCGGCAGGCCUAACACAUGCAAGUCGAGCGGUCCCUUUGGGGGCAGCGGCGGACGGGUGAGUAACGCGUGGGAACCUGGCCUUGGGUGCGGGAUAACGUCGGGAAACUGGCGCUAAUACCGCAUAAUGUCUACUGACCAAAGAUUUAUCGCCCAAGGAUGGGCCCGCGUUGGAUUAGCUAGAUGGUGGGGUAACGGCCUACCAUGGCGACGAUCCAUAGCUGGUUUGAGAGGAUGAUCAGCCACACUGGGACUGAGACACGGCCCAGACUCCUACGGGAGGCAGCAGUGAGGAAUAUUGCGCAAUGGGGGAAACCCUGACGCAGCGACGCCGCGUGGAUGAUGAAGGCCUGGUCGUAAAUACCUAGUCAGAUGGAA
rnacentral:rRNA from 1 species